GAGGGUAUAGCUUAGUGGUAGAGUGCGUGCCUAGCAGGCAGAAGGUCCUGCGUUCAAUCCCCAGUACCUCUA
rnacentral:tRNA from 1 species